rnacentral:tRNA from 1 species
GGCUCCGUAGUUUAACCGGCUAAAACACCGGCCUGUCACGUCGGAGAGCGCGGGUUCAAGUCCCGCCGGAGUCGUCA